AGUGAACGCUGGCGGUAGGCCUAACACAUGCAAGUCGAACGGCAGCACAGUAAGAGCUUGCUCUUACGGGUGGCGAGUGGCGGACGGGUGAGGAAUACAUCGGAAUCUACUUUUUCGUGGGGGAUAACGUAGGGAAACUUACGCUAAUACCGCAUACGACCUACGGGUGAAAGCAGGGGAACUUCGGACCUUGCGCGAUUGAAUGAGCCGAUGUCGGAUUAGCUAGUUGGCGGGGUAAAGGCCCACCAAGGCGACGAUCCGUAGCUGGUCUGAGAGGAUGAUCAGCCACACUGGAACUGAGACACGGUCCAGACUCCUACGGGAGGCAGCAGUGGGGAAUAUUGGACAGUGGGCGCAAGCCUGAUCCAGCCAUACCGCGUGGGUGAAGAAGGCCUUCGGGUUGUAAAGCCCUUUUGUUGGGAAAGAAAAGCAGCAGGUUAAUACCCCGCUGUUCUGACGGUACCCAAAGAAUAAGCACCGGCUAACUUCGUG
rnacentral:rRNA from 1 species